UGGUGGUUGCAGAUCAGUGGUUAACACAUUGGAUUUCUGAUCAGAAGGUUGUGAGUUCAAAUCCCAGAGCGCCAC